UGUAGAAAAAAAAAAAUAACUCGCUUCAUUUAUAAUCAUUUUGGCAUAUGAGAGACAAAAUUUGCAAGCCGGCUUUUGCCUUUUGUCGUCUGAAAAAAAAUUCUAUCAUGUGCAAGGUUAUCAACGCCAGAUGCAGCCGGUAUAUGACGAUGCGUGGAUGAAAUAUGAAUAUGAUGAUUGUGAUUAGGAUCAUAUUUAUAAUAUAACGUUUCCCUCGUUUCAAACAUGGUAACGAUUCGUAAAAACUUCGAACUGCAGCAUACAAUCAGAUUUGAUUUUAUGAUGAUAGAGAAUGCCCAAAAACUGAGUCUUUCUGACUGUCUCCAUCUCAAGCUCUAUCCCAAACCAAACUUGGUUUUUAUGUGAAUUGGGAGAUUAAAGAAAGGGAUAAUUGAAAUUUUAUUUUUAGUACUAAAAUUAACGGUUAAUGGACUUGCCAUUAUUUAUAAAAAAAAAACUAUUGAAAAAAGCAGUGCUUCGAAAAAUAUUUUAAGUAAAAAAUUAAACAAGGACACAAAAAGUUCAA